rnacentral:rRNA from 1 species
UACGUAGGGUGCGAGCGUUGUCCGGAAUUAUUGGGCGUAAAGAGCGUGUAGGCGGCCAUUCAGGUCAGCUGUGAAAACUCGAGGCUCAACCUCGAGACGUCGGUUGAAACCGUUUGGCUAGAGUCCGGAAGAGGAGAGUGGAAUUCCCGGUGUAGCGGUGAAAUGCGCAGAUAUCGGGAAGAACACCCGUGGCGAAGGCGGCUCUCUGGGACGGUACUGACGCUGAGACGCGAAAGCGUGGGGAGCGAACAGG